rnacentral:rRNA from 1 species
UACGUAGGGUCCAAGCGUUAAUCGGAAUUACUGGGCGUAAAGCGUGCGCAGGCGGCUUCGCAAGUCAGACGUGAAAUCCCCGGGCUUAACCUGGGAAUGGCGUUUGAAACUACGGAGCUGGAGUGUGGCAGAGGGAGGUAGAAUUCCACGUGUAGCGGUGAAAUGCGCAGAUAUCAGGAGGAACACCAGUAGCGAAGGCGGUGGUCUGGGCCGGCACUGACGCUGAGGAGCGAAAGCGUGGGGAGCGAACAGG